UUAUGAAAAAUUUAUUUCAUCGCGAGUUAUAAGUGCAUAUUAUAGCAUGCUAAUUAACAAUUCGAUUAAUCACACAAUUAACUUUAUUUUUUAAUUAUAAAUAUCAGAAAAUAUUGACAACCUUUAAUUUUCACAGACUCGAUGAAGACCUUGCCAAAAAAAAAAAUGUUGGAAUCACCGUGGAGUACACUGUUCAAAUUGAUCUAAACUGCUCAUUUUUCCGAAGAGGGAUUUUUUGCCAUAAGCAAAUAACGACAAGUUUGCCGUUUACUUUAAUGCAUCCAGAACCUCCAGAAGAAUUAUCUGUGCCUCCAUUACCUCAACCGACUCCAGCUGUUCCAUUACCAUCUACUUCUAAACAUGACCCUGGAUUUGUUGAUGCCAACCUCAUAGAAUUCGAAGGCGAUGAUGACGUAGACCUUAUAUUCGAAGAUUUCGCGCGUGAACGAAUAAGGGAAUGAACAGAUACCUGAUUAUAUUACGUCCAUAUAUACUUCAGUAAUGAAA